rnacentral:rRNA from 1 species
CACGUAGGGGGCAAGCGUUGUCCGGAUUUAUUGGGCGUAAAGAGCUCGUAGGCGGUUCGGUAAGUCGGGUGUGAAACCUCCAGGCUCAACCUGGAGAGGCCACCUGAUACUGCUGUGACUCGAGUCCGGUAGGGGAGCGUGGAAUUCCUGGUGUAGCGGUGAAAUGCGUAGAUAUCUGGAGGAACACCGGUGGCGAAGGCGGCAUCCUGGACCGGUAUUGACGCUGAGGCGCGAAAGCUAGGGGAGCAAACGGG